UUUUCCUUUUAAGCUGAUCCAGAGAGGUUGGUAAAGGUGAUUGUUUAUGUGUUACGCGUUGCAACAGAAGCAAACUAAAGCUGUCUUAUUUCAAUACCCUUCCGUAAAUUUAUGGAGGGGUAUUUUUGUU
rfam:Desulfobacteraceae bacterium 4572_35.1 ex4572_35.1_scaffold_148, whole genome shotgun sequence.